rnacentral:rRNA from 1 species
GACGAACGCUGGCGGCGUGCUUAACACAUGCAAGUCGAACGAUGAGACGCCUUCCUUUUUGGUGGGUGUGGAUGAGUGGCGAAGGGGUGAGUAAGACGAGAGUAACCUGCCAACAUCUUCUGAAUAACGGCAUGACAGAGUUGCUACUACGGAAUAUUCUGAGUCUGUUGCAUGAAGGGUGUGGGACAGAUAUGGUUUCGGUGGGGGAUGGGUUCGCGGCUUAUCAGCUUGUUGGUGGGGUGACGGCCUACCAAGGCGGUGACGGGUAGCCGGCCUGAGAGGGUCGACGGUCACACUGCGAAUGCGACAUCGCGCAGACUCCGACGGGAAGCAGCAGUGGGGAAUACGGCACAAGGGGCGCACGCCUGAUGCAGCGACGCCGCGUUAGUGAGGGAGUCCGGCUCGUUGUGAACUGCUAUCGGCAGUGAAGCAGUCUGUCCGCGUUUGUGGGUGGGUUGACGGUAGCUAGAUAAAAAGCGACGGCUAACUACGUG